CUGCAGAGCAUGUGUGUGGGCCCUGUUCCCAUCUCCGUGGGAGGACUGCUUGUGUGCACGCCCUCCACCCCAAAUUGACAUGUGCCCACCGAUGGGGUGACUGAUGAAUCACGGGCCAUUUUACAGAACAGGAGUUGACUAGAGGCUCUUUAUGUGAGUUAAACAGCUUAUUUCAAGGAGUGGGCCUUGUAGGGUCUGGCAGGUUCCUCUGAGGACUUGCCUGUUGGCUUUGGGGAAGUCCCGAGGGAGGAAGUGUCCAGCUCCAGUCCCCUCCACAUGGCCACGGCUCCCUUGCUUCCAAUGAAUGCUUGCUGUUCUGCUCAGCAGAUGCCUCCCAGGACCUGAGGGGAGACCAGCCUCCUUUCUGCGGAGACUUUUGGCUGGACUUUUAUGGCUCUCCCAGGGGUGAGAGGCCGCGGCUCCUGCAGCCUCAGGCUUGGCCCCAAGUCAUCUCUGGUGGGUCCAGGACUCCACUCUCCAACUUCACUGGGGCCUCUGUGUCCCACAGCAACCUUCAGAUGUCGGCUCUCCCUCCAUCUGGCUCUUCACUGCCCCUGCUGUCUGUGAUUUUCGUUCUAGACCCAAGCCAAUGGAUUCCUGAAAGGGGCUCCUCCCGCCAUCUCAGCCCUGGUCUGGCCUGGCCGCGCUCUUCUCUGUGGUCUGGACAGGGAAUGAUGAUGAACCCGGGCUGCCCAUUGUUUUUGUUUUGUGAUAUUUAAAGCAACCAAAGCUCUUAUUACUGUAAUACAGUGUGUGCCUGUGCUGGGGGGGAGGAGCAGUGCCCCGCCUUGGUCAGGGGCCAUUCUGUGAUGUUGCGGUGAGCCUGGAGAGUGUUUGGAACCACGGAUGGUAGAGUUUGGAGUGCCAGGGCUGGGAGAAGCCUCAGAGCUCCCCCACUCUCACUCAGCCCAGCCCCCUCAUUUAAAUCAAGAGACAGAGAGCCCAUUUAGGGAAAGGGAUGGCUUGAGCAAUAGCGUAGCUAGUGGUAGAACUGAGACUAGAACUCAGGUCCUGUGCAUUUGCUGAAAAUGGUUGCAGCUUUGGCUUCUGCCCUCCUCCUUUGGAGGCCCUGAGUUUAAUUUUGUGUUUGUAAUUUUAUAUUUCUUAAAAAAAAAUGAGCCCUUCCAAUUGUCUAAGCUUUAAGAGCCACGGAACCAUUUGCCCCUUCCCAGAACUUUCUACUAUACUGUACUGUCUGUGUGUGUGAGGGGAAGGGGCAAAUGUACCAGGUGGGAUGAUCCAGCAAUCCCACUCCUGGACAUAUAUCUGGAGAAAAUUCUAAUUAGAAAAGAUACAUGCACCCAGUGUUCAUAGCAGCACUACUCAUAAUAGUGAAGACAUGGAGGCAACCUAAAUGUCCAUUGACAGGUGAAUAGAUAAAGAUGAUGUGGUAUAUAUAUCCAAUAGAAUAUUACUCAGCCAUAAAAAAGAAUGAACAAUGCCAUUUUCAGCUACAUGGAUGUACCCUACAGAUUAUUAUACUAAGUGAAGUUAAG
rnacentral:lncRNA from 1 species